GAGGGAAAGUUGCAAAGAACUUUGAAGAGAGAGUUCAAGAGGGCGUGAAACUGUUCAGAAGCAAACAAAAGGAGCUGAUAAAAGUGGACUGAAUUCAAUUCUGGCAACUUGAAGGGAGUAUGGCACUAGUGGGUAUGGCCUGACCUGCCUUUCCUUCUUGUUUGCUGGUGCAUUUUCAGUACAUGAUCACUGAGUGCAGUGACUUUUCCACUGUAGACUAGUAACUGAAGUUCUGUGCAUCAGUACAGAGUCCUCGUUCUGGUUUGCAGUUGGUGGUUGUUACUGUGGAUCGAAAACUUGCAAGGAUCAAGCUCAGUCAACCUGAUGUUUUGGCAUUUAUCUGGUGCCCUCUGCUUUGCAGGGUUAUUGGCUAGUGCUAGAAUUGAUGGAGACAUCUGAGUUGCAAGUAGUCAGUGCUUUUCAGUUAACCUUUUGACCCGUCUUGAAACACGGACCAAGGAGUCUAACAUGUGCGCGAGUUAAUGAGUUGAACACUCAGAAACGAAAUGAAGGUAACAAGCCUUAACGGUAAAUGGGACACAGAUCAGCAAUGGUUUGGGGCACCAUGAUCCCGCUUAUUUUGCAAUGUCAAAGGAGCGGAGAAGGAGUGUACAUGUUGGGACCCGAAAGAUGGUGAACUAUGCGUGAGCAGGAUGAAGCCAGAGGAAACUCUGGUGGAGGUCCAUAGCGGUUCUGACGUGCAAAUCGAUCGUCAGACUUGCGUAUAGGGGCGAAAGACUAAUCGAACCAUCUAGUAG
rnacentral:rRNA from 1 species